UCUACGGGAGGCAGCAGUGAGGAAUAUUGGUCAAUGGGCGGGAGCCUGAACCAGCCAAGUCGCGUGAGGGACGACGGUCCUAUGGAUUGUAAACCUCUUUUGUCGGGGAACAAAGGCGCCCACGGGUGGGCGGAUGAGUGUACCCGAAGAAAAAGCAUCGGCUAACUCCGUGCCAGCAGCCGCGGUAAUACGGAGGAUGCGAGCGUUAUCCGGAUUUAUUGGGUUUAAAGGGUGCGUAGGCGGGCUUUUAAGUCAGCGGUAAAAAUUCGGGGCUCAACCCCGUCCGGCCGUUGAAACUGGGGGCCUUGAGUGGGCGAGAAGAAGGCGGAAUGCGUGGUGUAGCGGUGAAAUGCAUAGAUAUCACGCAGAACCCCGAUUGCGAAGGCAGCCUUCCGGCGCCCUACUGACGCUGAGGCACGAAAGUGCGGGGAUCGAACAGGAUUAGAUACCCGGGUAGUC
rnacentral:rRNA from 1 species